UACGUAGGGUGCAAGCGUUGUCCGGAUUUAUUGGGCGUAAAGGGCUCGUAGGCGGUUUGUCGCGUCGGGAGUGAAAACCAGGUGCUUAACACCUGGCUUGCUUUCGAUACGGGCAGACUAGAGGUAUGCAGGGGGAGAACGGAAUUCCUGGUGUAGCGGUGAAAUGCGCAGAUAUCAGGAGGAACACCGGUGGCGAAGGCGGUUCUCUGGGCAUUACCUGACGCUGAGGAGCGAAAGUGUGGGGAGCGAACAGG
rnacentral:rRNA from 1 species